AGUAGUAGUACAGUUUAGUUACACGUUACAACGUAGGGUAGUACAGUUUUGUUACACGGUAAAACGUAGGAUAGUAGUAGUACAGUUUAGUUACACGUUAAAACGUAGGGUAGUACAGUUUUGUUACACGUUAAAACGUAGGAUAGUAGUAGUACAGUUUUGUUAUACGUUUAAAACGUAGGGUAGUACAGUUUAGUUACACGUUAAAACGUAGGAUAGCACAGUUUUGUUACACGUUAAAACGUAGGGUAGCGCAGUUUUGUUACACGUUAAAAGGUAGGAUAGUACAGUUUAGUUACACGUUAAAACGUAGGAUAGUACAGUUUAGUUACACGUUAAAACGUAGGAUAGUACAGUUUUGUUACACGUUAAAACGUUGGGUGGUACAGUUUAGUCACACGUUACAACGUAGGGUAGCGCAGUUUAGUUACACGUUAAAACGUAGGAUAGUACAGUUUUGUUACACGUUAAAA